rnacentral:rRNA from 1 species
GAUGAACGCUGGCGGCGUGCCUAAUACAUGCAAGUCGAGCGAACAGAUGAGGAGCUUGCUCCUCUGACGUUAGCGGCGGACGGGUGAGUAACACGUGGAUAACCUACCUAUAAGACUGGGAUAACUUCGGGAAACCGGAGCUAAUACCGGAUAAUAUAUUGAACCGCAUGGUUCAAUAGUGAAAGACGGUUUUGCUGUCACUUAUAGAUGGAUCCGCGCCGCAUUAGCUAGUUGGUAAGGUAACGGCUUACCAAGGCGACGAUGCGUAGCCGACCUGAGAGGAUGAGCAGCGACAGUGGAACUGAGACGAGGUGCAGACUCCUGCGGGAGGCAGCAGUGGGGAAGAGUGGACAAUGGGCGAAAGUCUUAACCAGCCAUGAGGAGUGUGUAAAGAAGGUCUUCGGAUUGUAAAGCACUUUAAGGUGGGAGGAAGGGCAGUAAGUGAAUACCGUGCUGUUGUGACGUGACCAACAGAAUAAGCACCGGCUAACUUCGUG